rnacentral:rRNA from 1 species
GAUGAACGCUGGCGGCGUGCCUAAUACAUGCAAGUCGAGCGAACGGACGCGACGCUUGCUUCUCUGAUGUUAGCGGCGGGCGGGUGAGUAACACGUGUAUCACCUCCCUAUAAGUCUGGGAUCACUUCGGGAAACCGGAGCUAAUACCAUAUGAUAUUUUGAACCGCAUGGUGCAAAGGUGAAAGACGGUCUUUCUGUCACUUAUAGCUGGAUCCGCGCUGCAUUAGCUAGUUGGUAAGGUAACGGCUUACCAAGGCAACGAUGCGUAGCCGACCUGAGAGGGGGAUCGGCCACCCUGGAACUGAGACACGGACCAGACUCCUACGAGAGGCAGCAGUAGGGAAUCUUCGGCAAUGGGCGAAAGCCUGACGGAGCAACGCCGCGUGAGUGAUGAAGGUCUUCGGAUCGUAAAACCCGGUUAUUAGGGAAGAACAGAUGUGGAAGUAAAUGUGGAGAUCUUGACGGUACCUAAUCAGAAAGCCACGGCUAACUACGUG